AAGAGCCGCUGAGUGGGGAGGAGAGAGGGACAGAGAGCCUGCUUGCUUUAAAGGAGCAAAGCAGGAGAGGAGAGGAGCCGCUUACACGAGUGUAAGCGGCUCCUGUCCGGUUGGCUCCUUUAAAGCAAGCAGGCUCUCUGUCCCUCUCUCCUCCCCACUCAGCUGGCUAAA
rnacentral:miRNA from 1 species